AGCGAACGCUGGCGGCAGGCCUAACACAUGCAAGUCGAGCGCCCAGCAAUGGGAGCGGCAGACGGGAUAGUAACACGUGGGAACGUACCUUUCAGUUCGGAACAACCAAGGGAAACUUUGGCUAAUACCGAAUACGCCCGUAAGGGGAAAGAUUUAUCGCUGAAAGAUCGGCCCGCGUCUGAUUAGCUAGUUGGUGAGGUAAUGGCUCACCAAGGCGACGAUCAGUAGCUGGUCUGAGAGGAUGAUCAGCAUCACUGGGACGGAGACACGGCCCAGACUCCUACGGGAGGCAGCAGUGGGGAAUAUUGGACAAUGGGCGCAAGCCUGAUCCAGCCAUGCCGCGUGAGUGAUGAAGGCCUUAGGGUUGUAAAGCUCUUUCGUCAGGGAAGAUAAUGACGGUACCCGAAGAAGAAGCCCCGGCUAACUUCGUGCCAGCCGCCGCCGUAAAAC
rnacentral:rRNA from 1 species